UACGGAGGAUCCAAGCGUUAUCCGGAUUUAUUGGGUUUAAAGGGCGCGUAGGCGGCCUAUUAAGUCAGGGGUGAAAGACGGUGGCUCAACCAUCGCAGUGCCUUUGAUACUGAUGGGCUUGAAUGAACCUGAGGUAGGCGGAAUGUGACAAGUAGCGGUGAAAUGCAUAGAUAUGUCACAGAACACCAAUUGCGAAGGCAGCUUACUAAAGUUUAAUUGACGCUGAGGCACGAAAGCGUGGGGAUCAAACAGG
rnacentral:rRNA from 1 species